rnacentral:rRNA from 1 species
AUUGAACGCUGGCGGUAUGCCUUACACAUGCAAGUCGAACGGUAGAGGGGCAACCCUUGAGAGUGGCGAACGGGUGAGUAAUACAUCGGAACGUGCCCAGUCGUGGGGGAUAACGUAGCGAAAGCUACGCUAAUACCGCAUACGACCCGAGGGUGAAAGCGGGGGACUCGCAAGGGCCUCGCGCGAUUGGAGCGGCCGAUGGCAGAUUAGGUAGUUGGUGGGGUAAAGGCCCACCAAGCCUGCGAUCUGUAGCUGGUCUGAGAGGACGACCAGCCACACUGGGACUGAGACACGGCCCAGACUCCUACGGGAGGCAGCAGUGGGGAAUUUUGGACAAUGGGCGAAAGCCUGAUCCAGCCAUACCGCGUGCGGGAAGAAGGCCUUCGGGUUGUAAACCGCUUUUGUCAGGGAAGAAAUCUUCUGGGUUAAUACCUCGGGAGGAUGACGGUACCUGAAGAAUAAGCACCGGCUAACUGCGUGCCAGCCGCCGCGGUAACAC